AUACGGAGGAUCCGAGCGUUAUCCGGAUUUAUUGGGUUUAAAGGGUGCGUAGGCGGCCUUUUAAGUCAGCGGUGAAAGUCUGUGGCUCAACCAUAGAAUUGCCGUUGAAACUGGGAGGCUUGAGUAUGUUUGAGGCAGGCGGAAUGCGUGGUGUAGCGGGGAAAUGCUUAGAUAUCCAGCAGAACCCCGAUUGCGAAGGGAGCCUGCCAAGCCAUGACUGACGCUGAUGCACGAAAGCGUGGGGAUCAAACAGGAUUAGAUACCCUGGUAGUCCACGCAGUAAACGAUGAUCACUAGCUGUUUGCGAUACAGUGUAAGCGGCACAGCGAAAGCGUUAAGUGAUCCACCUGGGGAGUACGCCGGCAACGGUGAAACUCAAAUGAAUUGGCGGGG
rnacentral:rRNA from 1 species